GGCUCAACCGUAAAAUUGCCAUUGAAACUGGCGAACUUGAGUACAGUAGAGGUAGGCGGAAUUCGUGGUGUAGCGGUGAAAUGCUUAGAUAUCACGGAGAACUCCGAUUGCGAAGGCAGCUUGCUGGACUGUAACUGACGCUGAGGCACGAAAGCGUGGGGAUCAAACAGGAUUAGAUACCCUGGUAGUCCACGCCGUAAACGAUGAAUGCUAGCUGUUAGCGAUAUACUGUUAGCGGCACAGAGAAAUCGUUAAGCAUUCCACCUGGGGAGUACGCCGGCAACGGUGAAACUCAAAGGAAUUGACGGGGGCCCGCACAAGCGGAGGAACAUGUGGUUUAAUUCGAUGAUACGCGAGGAACCUUACCUGGGCUUAAAUUGCAGUGGAAUAACGUGGAAACAUGUUAGCCUUCGGGCCGCUGUGAAGGUGCUGCAUGGUUGUCGUCAGCUCGUGCCGUGAGGUGUCGGCUUAAGUGCCAUAACGAGCGCAACCCUCAUCGAUAGUUACUAACAGGUUAAGCUGAGGACUCUAUCGAGACUGCCGACGUAAGUCGUGAGGAAGGUGGGGAUGACGUCAAAUCAGCACGGCCCUUACGUCCAGGGCUACACACGUGUUACAAUGGGGGGUACAAAGGGCAGCUACCUGGCGACAGGAUGCUAAUCUCAAAAACCUCUCUCAGUUCGGAUUGGAGUCUGCAACCCGACUCCAUGAAGCUGGAUUCGCUAGUAAUCGCGCAUCAGCCACGGCGCGGUGAAUACGUUCCCGGGCCUUGUACACACCGCCCGUCAAGCCAUGGGAGCCGGGGGGACCUGAAGUAUGCAACCGUAAGGAGCGUCCUAGGGUAAAACUGGUGACUGGGGCUAAGUCGUAACAAGGUACC
rnacentral:rRNA from 1 species